AACAGAGCUGCCUGGGGGCGCGGAACGGCCCCGCCGCACGGGGUCAGUGUGCUCAGGGAUGGCGCUGCAAGGCCCGCGGGCUGCUGGAGGAGGGGGCCUGGGUCCCAGACCGCAGCAGGACCUGGCGUCCCACUCAGCUCUCCCUCCGCGAGCGCUGUAACAUGAUCCCCGGAAAUUCCUGGAGAAGGGCCGCCCCCCGCCCCUCUCCCGGCAGCUCCCGGCCUCGCGGGCUGUCCCAACCUCCCCUCCUCUCCUCCCCACUGCGCUGCCCCAGCUCUGGCUACCCUUCCAGAUGCCCCACGGGCACCGGGACCGCCUCCACGCAGGCUGGAACCUGUCCAGAUCGAGGUCUCCCAGCGGUGUAGAUUGACGGGUGGGGAGGCUGAAGACCACGCCUGGAUGGAAGAUAAAGAAGGGUUUUCAGUGUUACUGUCUCCUGCAACUACGAUCCUCUUUCCACAAGAUGGAAAGCGCUCAGGACCAAACGCAAGCGGCAGCUGGCUGCACCAUCCACCAUCCACCCGCAGCAGCAAAUAAACACGUGUCUCCAAAACACUACAACUCCCAAGAAGCUAUAGUGUCU